UAUGCGCUCGUGGGUACACGGUCACACAUACCGAAGUAUCCGCGCAAAACGCUAAAUUUUUCGUUUCUGGGAGAGGACUGUCCCUCCCUCUCCCUCUCUCUCGCUCUCGCUGCUCUGACGCUCCUCGGCCUUCUGCCAUCGAUCUGGGAAAAAAGGGUGUGCAUCGCAGUACACGUCUGAGUCGCCGAGUCGCCCCCCCCCCCCCCUUUUCCUUCCCAGACCACACCUGAGGAGUUGUGGCGAGACUCGCGACGACGGCCUUUCAAGUGUUGUCAUUAAAAAUGCCGAGGCCACCGGGCACGGUUGCUGCCGCGGCGGCGACGACGUCCAUGUCCUCCACGCGCGCUCGCAAGGAUCCGCUUCGCCGGAUCGGCAAUGGCAAUGCUGUCGCCGGUGGUCUCGACAUGACGCGCGUCGGCAUCCUUAGCGACCGCGAACUUGCCUUUUUCCAACGUCUUGCCUACACCGGGUCGCAGGCGGCGGAACAGCAGCAGCGCGACACCCGGAAGCAGGAGGAAGACCGUCGCCGCGAGCUGUCCAAGACUCGCGCGGCCGGCUGGACCGACACGAUCGAGGCACGCCAUGAUCAAUUCGUCCAGGCACAGCAAGACGCCAAGGAUGCCGCGGAGGCGCGUCAGAAGGUGCUCGACGAGCUCUACGCGAAGCAGCUCGAGGAGGAGCACAAAGCCGUCAUUGCGCGCCAAGAGCUGGAACACCUCAAGGAAGACCCGCGCGGACGCCAUCUGCGCUCGAUGAACAUGCUGCACGAAGCACUGAAGGCUCGCAAGGAGCAGGUGGCCUACAAGCAGAUGCUCAAGCGCGAGGACGAGGCGCAGAACGCGAACGCUCAGCGCGAGUUGCAGCUGCAGCUGUGGGGCGACCAGGCCGAGGAGCUGCACAAGAAACUCAAAGCACGCCAGCGCAACGUCGAAGAGAAAAACGCCAACUUAGAAACUGUGCUCUACCAGAUCGAUCAACGAAGACAGGAGCGUGCGGUGCAGCAGCAGGACCGUAAGCACGUCGAUCAAGAGGCCGCCGAGGAGCGUGCCGAGCAGCAGGAAGAAGAAGCGCAGCGUCGUGCUCGAGAGCUUGAGAACGGCGCCUACAAUAAGGCGCACAGCCGUCCCGCGCUGACCAAGUCGGAGAAGCUGCAGACUCGUGUAGCCGAAAAUGUCAAGGACGAGGCCGCGCUGCGGGCCGAGGAGGAGAAAGUCGACAGCAUCAAGCGCUGGGUCAUUGAACGCCAGCAGAAGAAGCUGGCGGCGUUCGAAGAGCGAAAGAAGGCAAGCCUGCAGCAGUACCUUGACCAGGCAAAGCAAGAGAACCUGCCGACGUAUCGCACGCAGGAUGUGUUUGAGAAGAGGGAGAGCUUCCUGCAGAAGCUCUACGACAGCGACGUGAAGCAGCAGGAGAAGCAGCACGAAUAUCGCCUCGAGAUGGAGCAGCAGCGGCUAGAGAUGGAGGAACAGAAGGCGGCGGAGGCGCGAGGUGAUGUUGUCGGCAGCGGCGACGGCGCCGACGGGAGCAGCUCACGACGACACGCCGCUGCCACGACUGCCGCGGGCUUUCUCAACAAGGCCGAAGAGAAAGCGUACGCAGAGGAGAUGCGUCGCUACCCGGAGCAGCUGAGGGCAAAGGAGGCCGAGGAGGCCGCCGCCCGUCGCGCCGAGGCGUUGCGAAUUGAGCGCAUUCAGAAACUGCAGGCCGCCGAGAAGCGCGAGAACGCGCGCCGCGCCGUCGAGGCUCGUCGUGAAGAGUUUCGGCAGCAGCAGGCCCAGCAGGAGGCGGACGACGCGCGGUAUCGGGCCUACAUCGACUCCGUGGUACCGGCAGACAUGGACCCGAUACUGUACCGCAAAGCCACUCAGCUGCAUUGAAAGCUGUGCUUUAAGCGAGCGUGUAUAUGUGUGCGUGUCUCGAUGCUCCUGACGGACUACGGCGCGGAGGUGAACUGCGUGUCUGGCCUUUAGCGUCUUCAGCGUCCCUCAGUCUUCUCCACCCACACAUGUGCGCGCGCUCUCGUUUUGCUUUCCCGUUUUUGUUGUUGUUCUUUGGAGGGGGUUAACGGAAGCUGCCGUCCAUCACUCCUCCACCCCGUCAGAUGCAGAGAUGGAAGAUGAUGGUUUAUGCAUGUAUGUGCAUCAGGUGCAUGCUUGCGUGUGUGUGUGUGUGUGUUGUGUGUCUCUCUUCCUUGGGGCCGUCCCACGUCUGUGACUCCGGCUGUGAUAGAAGUAGCGCUCUGCUUUCGUUUCGUUGUCGGUUGUAUUUCUGCUCCGCUGCCUUGAAGGCUCACAUGUCGCGUACGAACUCACGUCGGUGCAUGCGCUUCCCUCGUUGUAUGCGCGCUGUCGUGUCUCUGACACGUGCACGUAGCAGCGCCCGUUGAUGUAAACUAGAAGCACUUUUUUUUUCGUUUCUCCUUUCGCUCUCUUCGUCCUCUCUCUUCCUCAGUCCCUUGUUCUCUCCAUCCACCCAUCUAUUCAUUCACCCAUCCUCCUCAUACGCACACGGACGCCGCAUGCUCGCCAAGCCUCAGCACCCAGGCACUCGCCUCCUCCGCAUUCCCUCUGCUCAUGCAUGGACAGAUGCCAAGGGUUUCGGGGCAUUCGUUGUGCCCUUGCAUGACUGUUGUGGACUGCUUUGGCACGGUGUGGAGGAGGCUACGCACGUGUAGCGCUGUGCACGCGUGUGUGUGUGUGUUUGUGUGUGUGUGCUGCUGCUGCUGCUGCUUGGCAGAUGAUUAGUGAGGAAAGGGGAGGGCGAUGGAGUAGAGCGGUGUUUUAGUGGUGGUCAGGAGGAGGAGGGGGUGAUGGUGCACACGCAUGAGCAGACACACACACGCCGGCGGAGCAGGGUGCGGGGAUUGGAGGUCGGCCUUCUCUCUCUAUCGGUUUUUCUUCUUUCAUGCAGCCUAGACAAUCAUCAACCGACACGCGUGCAAGCAUUUCGUGGUAAAGAAAGCGCUGACAGCAGCGAAAAGGGGGUCGUCGGCGAUGCUGCGGGCGCUGGCCUCGUGUUCGUGUGCGUUGUGUUCCUGUGUGUCGGUCCUGCAUACCGGAGGUCACCACCAUGACCAGAUGCACAACCAACUCACUGCAUAGCAUGGCCUUUUCAGCCCCCCCCCCUCUUCCCUCCGUGUUGUAAAGCGCACUCGAGC
rnacentral:misc_RNA from 1 species